rnacentral:misc_RNA from 1 species
UGGUUCUGGCAUNGAUGAAGAACGCAGCGAAAUGCGAUAAGUAAUGUGAAUUGCAGAAUUCAGUGAAUCAUCGAAUCUUUGAACGCACAUUGCGCCCUUUGGUAUUCCGAAGGGCAUGCCUGUUCGAGCGUCAUUUAAACUCUCAAGCCCAGCUUGGUUUUGGGAACGGCCGCACGGCCGUCCCGCAACGCGUUGAGCGUGAGCGUCUGGCUUCAAGCGUAGCAAGUUUCUCGCUUUGUUGAAGGACGUGUCGCCGCCGACAAAACACCACUUCAAGUUUGACCUCGGAUCAGGUAGGGAUACCCGCUGA